rnacentral:rRNA from 1 species
GGUAGUGACAAUAAAUCACAAUGCGGAACUAUUAGUUUUGCAAUUGGAUUGAGAACAAUGUACAAAUGUUAUCGAUAAACAAUUGGAGGGCAAGUCUGGUGCCAGCAGCCGCGGUAAUUCCAGCUCCAAUAGCGUAUAUUAACGUUGUUGCAGUUAAAAAGCUCGUAGUUGAAUUGAAGUGAACUUGGAUUGAUGUGAUCUUCGGAUGACGUGAAUCAAAGUUGACUCUUUCCAAAGUCAAUACAUUGGUAUUCAUUUAUCUUUGUAUUGUGUUUGGUCAUUUACUGUGAGAAAAUUAGAGUGUUCAAAGCAGACGUUUGUUUGAAUACAUUAGCAUGGAAUAAUCAUAUAAGGCUUUCAUGUUGAUUUGAUUGGUUUGAAUAUGGAAGCAAGAUUAAAAGGGACAGUUGGGGGUAUUCAUAUUCAAUAGUCAGAGGUGAAAUUCUGGGAUUUAUGGAAGAUGAACAAGUGCGAAAGCA